rnacentral:rRNA from 1 species
GACGUAGGGGCCAGCGUUGUUCGGAAUUACUGGGUGUAAAGGGUUCGUAGGCGGUGUGGCAAGUCGGGAGUGAAAUUUCUGGGCUCAACUCAGAGACUGCUUCCGAAACUGCCGUGCUUGAGUGUGGGAGAGGCGCGUGGAAUUGCAGGUGUAGCGGUGAAAUGCGUAGAUAUCUGCAGGAACACCCGUGGCGAAAGCGGCGCGCUGGACCACUACUGACGCUGAGGAACGAAAGCUAGGGGAGCAAACAGG